UACGUAGGGGGCAAGCGUUGUCCGGAUUUAUUGGGCGUAAAGAGCGUGUAGGCGGGAGGGCACGUCCGUUGCUGAAAUCCCCCGGCUCAACCGGGGAACGGGCGCGGAUACGACUCUCCUUGAGGGGCGUAGGGGGACCUGGAACUUCCGGUGGAGCGGUGAAAUGCGUUGAGAUCGGAAGGAACGCCCGUGGCGAAAGCGAGGUCCUGGACGCCUACUGACGCUGAGACGCGAAAGCCAGGGGAGCGGAACGGG
rnacentral:rRNA from 1 species